rnacentral:rRNA from 1 species
GAUGAACGCUGGCGGCAUGCUUAACGCAUGCAAGUCGGACGGGAAGUCCUUUUUCCUUUUGCGGUCCGGUGUAUCACGCGUAAGAACCUGCCCUUGUGUCGGGCACUACAGCUGGAAACGGCUGCUAAUACCCCGUUGCCUGAGCAUCGCAAGGUGUACUGCGCCCUAGGAGGGGUUCGCGUUUGCUUCCCUAGUUGGGUAGUCAAUAACUUACCCAGGCGCUGAACAGUAGAUGGUCCGAGAGGAUGAUCAGCCACACGGGGACUGAGACACGGACCAGAGUCCGAGGCGAGGCAGGAGUGGGGAAGGUUCCGCAAUAGGCGAAAGGGUGAAGGAGCAACGCCGCGUGGAGGUAGAAGGGAGAAGGAUGGUGAAAUUAUUUGCCCGGAGAAGAAGCAAUGACGGUAUCUGAGGAAUAAGCAACGGCUAACUGUGUG